rnacentral:rRNA from 1 species
UACGUAGGGUGCGAGCGUUAAUCGGAAUUACUGGGCGUAAAGCGUGCGCAGGCGGUUUUGUAAGCCAGAUGUGAAAGCCCCGGGCUUAACCUGGGAAUGGCAUUUGGGACUGCAAGGCUUGAGUGCGGUAGAGGAGACUGGAAUUCCUGGUGUAGCAGUGAAAUGCGUAGAUAUCGGGAGGAACACCAGUGGCGAAGGCGACUACCUGGCCUGUUCUUGACGCUGAGGCGCGAAAGCUAGGGGAGCAAACGGG